rnacentral:rRNA from 1 species
AGAGUUUGAUCCUGGCUCAGGAUGAACGCUAGCUACAGGCUUAACACAUGCAAGUCGAGGGGCAGCAUGGUCUUAGCUUGCUAAGGCCGAUGGCGACCGGCGCACGGGUGAGUAACGCGUAUCCAACCUGCCUUACACUCUUGGACAGCCUUCUGAAAGGGAGAUUAAUACAAGAUGUUAUCAUGAGUAAGCAUUUUCGCAUGAUUAAAGGUUUACCGGUGUAAGACGGGGAUGCGUUCCAUUAGAUAGUAGGCGGGGUAACGGCCCACCUAGUCUUCGAUGGAUAGGGGUCCUGAGAGGAAGGUCCCCCACAUUGGAACUGAGACACGGUCCAAACUCCUACGGGAGGCAGCAGUGAGGAAUAUUGGUCAAUGGACGAGAGUCUGAACCAGCCAAGUAGCGUGAAGGAUGAAGGUUCUAUGGAUUGUAAACUUCUUUUAUACGGGAAUAAACGAAUCCACGUGUGGAUUUUUGCAUGUACCGUAUGAAUAAGGAUCGGCUAACUCCGUGCCAGCAGCCGCGGUAAUACGGAGGAUCCGAGCGUUAUCCGGAUUUAUUGGGUUUAAAGGGAGCGUAGAUGGGUUGUUAAGUCAGUUGUGAAAGUUUGCGGCCCAACCGUAAAAUUGCAAUUGAUACUGGCAGUCUUGAGUACAGUUGAGGUAGGCGAAAUUCGUGGUGUAGCGGUGAAAUGCUUAGAUAUCACGAAGAACUCCGAUUGCGAAGGCAGCUUACUAACCUGUAACUGACAUUGAUGCUCGAAAGUGUGGGUAUCAAACAGGAUUAGAUACCCUGGUAGUCCACACGGUAAACGAUG